UCCAACAAGCUUCAGAGGCAACCCAAGGACAGCCUGAGUGAAUAAGUGAUAAAACACUUUUUUGAGGUAAUUCAUCAGAAACACUCUAUAUUAUGCAUUUACAGUGUGCAAAGCUGGGUUCUUUUUUUAUAAAGAAUAUAUAAUGUAUCAAUUUAUUUGAAAAGAUAGGAACAUACAGGCUGCAGAAAGAGAUGAAGUUGUACACUGAAUGUACGCUCAUGUUGUCUUCCCAACUUUGGCGCUCAGUUUAGCGUUUAGGUGUUCAGUUGACAAAAUGCUCUCAUCCACCGCAGUCAUGACUGUAUUCUGUAACCUCAGCAGACGUAGGUUAACCCCAAAUGUCUGAGAGAUUAUACUGUCAAUGGUAAUUCAGAAUACCUCACUGACUUCUUAACUACAUGUUUACUACUGGAGACACUGAGAGAGUGGGCGGACGGACACUGAGUCAGAGUGAAAUUAAGCUAUAGAUCCCUGUACAGUUGAACUCAAACACUUAAAUGUUUUGAUAGGGAAAACUAGUAUAUCGACAUGCAUCACUGUUCUCUUAUCUGCAGGAUUUUUUGCAUGAAUCUACUUUUUUAUAAGAAGGCGUGCAAUAGCAGGGAAAAUGACCUACAUAAUGUCUGGGGUCAUUUCUCUCAACUUGGUGUUACACUUCAGCUCACUGCUUCCUGAGGGUUUUGCAAAAUUACGCACCACUAAAGGUAGUUUUUUGUGUUAUUUUUCAGCUGGGUAAUUUCCGGGACAAGCUUGAUUAAAUGUGUUUUCUGUAUUGAAAAUUAUGUGUUAGCUUCAUGCUAGUAACCUGCAAUGACUGGAUGUAGCGUCAGUGAUGUCAACCAAAUUUUUCGUCUUGAAUGCUCCUGGGGAGUAAUGAUGAAAUAAGAUGUUUUCAGAGGGCGUCUUCAGGAUCUUAUGGUUUCAUGUUAAAGCAUUGGCUAACACACUCACCAAAAGCCACUCAGGCUCUAUCAUAGGAAUUUGUUGUAUUCAUACUGGUCAACUUACACAACAGAAACUCAAGUUAUAUUUUUGUUGUGAUAUUUUGGCUGGAAUACUGAAGUACCACAACAUAAAGUAAAACUCCUCAGCACAGCAGCUGUAACCGCCCUUUUUUUUUUUUUUUUUUUUCAGGGUCUAUCUGCGCCGUGGAUAGAAAGAGAAAAAACAACAUACAUCUGUGUCCCAAGCUGACACUCAGGAGGCUGGUGCUUGCUGGCAGGGUUUUAACUCUGCCUCUGUGGCUUGGCCCCGAGCUCUCUUCCUCUCCAUUCAUUCCCAGCUGAGGUCAAGGAGUUGUGUUGUUUGUGGGAAGCUCUUCUACUGUCUUGUAAUGAGUGCUCUCAGCAGGAAAACAAGGCCUUGUUUUUCCAAAGGUCAGGGUCAGACGUGUCAGACGUGCUCUGAUCCAACCUCUAUUUAAAUCUCUGUUUUCUUGAGUACGACUGAUGGAGACUUGAACUCUGCAUGGCGUCCUGGUCAGUAUAAUACCUCAUCUUUUACAGUUUACAUCCAAAGAAACAUCAUCACUCCUAAUCCUUCUGCUGAAGAACCCCACUGUGUUUAUAAGUCCGCAAAAAAUGUUCUGAUUAUAGCAAACAUGCUUAUGAAUGCAUUUCACACCCACAAUGCAUUUCACACAUUCUACACUAAAAUGUGUUAGUUUUUUGUUCUUCUUCAAGUGUCUCCUUUUUACACUUUUUAAAGUCUGAUGUGGUUUCGGAACUGAAGCGGUCCAUUAAAGUGGGAGUGUAGGAAUGUGAUAAAUUCUCAUAAAGCCACUCAGACUUGAACAUCUUUUCUGCAGAAGAAUAUUUGUCACAUUUUUUCGUCUGACUUUGGUUAUGAGCUUUGUCUUUCUUCUUGUUUGCUUUGGCAAAAACUAAGAAAUAUAAAGGCCACAAUGAACGGUUUGUGCAAAAACCUUCUUAUAUGUCCUUGCAGAGGAAAGGGACUUUAUUUCAGCAGAUUAUUGUCACAGCUGACAUCCUUUUCUCUACUUUAAGGCUAAGACAAGGGUAGUAGUAAGGUCAGUUGCAUGUCUCUCCUUCUUGGGUCAGCCUAAUGUAACUGCAAUCCUGCACUGCUGGCAGCUGAGCCGCUCCACUCGAACAGUUGUUUGGAGAUGAGAUGUUUGGAAUGCAAAAAAGUUUGAGGAGUGGAUUGACCAAGAUUGACUGUAAUUCAAGAUGUCAAGAAGAUUUAGCGAUGAAGAAAAGCAGGUGAGCUGUCCAGCUCUUUUCCAACAUGUCUAAAUAUGAUCCUUUUCUGGGGUCGAAUCGUAAGAGAGAAAUUCGAUUUGGUUGGAAUGAAAGAAAAACAAGCAACUUGAUUUCAGUUAUUUGAAAAGACAAAUGAUCAAAUCUACGAAUGAGAUGCCAAGAAGCCACUUUAUCACCUUUGUUCAUAUCCUAAACUGUAACGGAGGAGCUUUCAUAUUUCAGCAACAAUAUUAUUUCUACUUUAUAAGUGGAAUUCAAAACACCUGAGAGAGAGUAUUUCAUCACAACCUUAAAAUGCACCAAAGGAACCUGAAUAAAAGUGUGAGUGAAGUGAUAGUUGAGGCAGAUAAAAUGAUAGUCACAUAUCUAUCAUUAGAAGUUCAACAAGGACACAGCAGAGGCCAAGAACCUGAGCCAGAGAAAUGAGGGCAUAAAUACAGAUAUUUUGUGCUGGGAUUUGGCUUUGGACUCCUUUUGUUUGCCACACAAUGAAAUGGGUAAAAUAUUUGUAACCAUGAGAUAUCAGAGCAAUUAUGGGCUAAACCAACAGAGAUUGUUAUGGUUAGGAUUCAUAAUUGUAUUCUUGUUGGGGUUUUUCUCUUUCCUCUGUCCCCUGACCAAGGUCUUUUGGCAAGCCUUGUAUUACAAUUGCUUUAUCAUGCUCUGGUGUAACUUCAUAAAAAAAUCCAGGAAACGAUCAGAAUCAGUCUCAGAUCAUAAUGAAUGGCCCACUAUGCUUUACCUUAUAGAGCCUGAUUUGCAGGAGGAGGAUUUGUUUUAUAUCUCUACAGCUCCCUCUUGUGGAAAUAUCUUUCAUCACAAAAGUGCAAAAGAGCAAAUCUGUAAGAUUCCUGAAUUUACCAGAAAAACACCCACCAAUAAAAGUGAUCUUCUCUUUGUUGUGCCCUACAUCCUUCCUUCACUCUGUCUUCUUCCCUAUUUUUCCAAACCUCACUUUCUCUAACUCUGGAUUUGAACCCACAGGUCUUCCUUGCAUUGCUUACUUUUAAUAUUUUGAAUUUGCUUUUCUUGAUCCAGAGGCAUGAACAUUCCUAUAAAAGAUUGGAUCAAGUACACUACGUAUAUUUGAUCCUGGCUCGUUUGUUGUCUGAUUUGCUGGCAUCAUUCUUGAUCUUUGUGUUAUGAAAUUUUUGAAAGACAAAAAUUAACCCCAGAAGACAUUUUCAUUUUCAUUUCAGUCCUAUUGGAGCCUCAUUCUCUCUAUUGAGGCCCUGGAUAGUCAGUCCCACUUUCCCCCUAACUACGAUUCAUAUGUUUAUGGACUACAGUGACCUGCUCAUCUUUAUAAAUUAACAACCUGUGAUGGUAAAUGGACUAAGUUUACUGUUGUCUUUUAACCACUCAAAGCCCUUUGACAUACAUGUCAUAUUCACCCAUACACACACUGAUGACAGAGGCUGCUAUGUAUAGAGUCCAUCAGUUUUGACUUAUUCUAUUCACACACCACAAAUGAAGCGUCUUGCCCAAGGACACUUUGGCAUGUGGACAGCAGGACCAGGGUUUGAACCCCUGACCUUUCAGUUGGGAGACGACCAACUCUACCACCGAACCACAGACGCUGCUUUUACUGUUAGCAACUGUCGCUUCUUUUACAAUAAAUUGUACAGUAUUUCGACCUUUUAUUGGUUUUUCAGCUUCUGUAUUUUAUUUUCCACCAAAGUGUGAAAGUGGAAAAAUGAAGAAAUACGUAGUUCCUCCUCAUAUUUCAUUUUUUUCCCUCAUCCUGGUGCAAAAAAAAAAUCUUCCACAUAUUUUCCUUGCUUUGCUUGAUCAGGUAAACACUUCUCAAACUGUGCAGCUGAGGUCCACAUAAAGGAAAAUGAUGACUAAAAAAAGAUAAAGAUGAAUAAAAGUCUUUAACAAAAGUAGAUGACUGUAUUUAUUAACCAUAACCUCACCUUUACCACAGACAAACUCUAAACUUACCGAGCAACAUUCAUAAGAAACAGUCUGUUUUCACCACACAGCUCAUAUCCUUCAUUUGAUAACAGUAAAGAAGUAGUUUGUUCUUCAUGUAGUACUGCUUUCUUUCAAAAGGGGGCAGUACAUAUCAACAAUCAUGCCACUCUGCAAACAUUCAUCUCCUCUAUCAGGAUUUUUUGACGUUCCCUCAGGUUAGGACACAACUGGCUUAAAUUAAGCUUUGUAAAUAACAGCUUAACAUCAUUAAAUUAGCCGCUUGUCCCAUGCAUACCCCGGGUUUUCCAUUUACUUAUUAUAACAGAAAGAAUUGCAUGAGUCAAUGUUUUCCUCCCAGUUAUAUUUCACUCUCUUUUUUUAUAUUUUACUUUAAAAUGUUCACGUUUAUAUACAAAUAACACAGCUACAAAGAAAACAUGCUUUUACAGGUACAUGAAGAUAACAGAGAAGAGGAAGCAGCCAUCACGUAAAAAGAUUAUUUUUAUGGUUUUAAACUUCUUUAAAACGAAAUCAAAUAAGACACAAAGUCAGCUGCAGAGCCUUUAAAUGAUCCUGUGAGUCUCUCGUUGUAUUUGAACAUCUUGCACCUUCAGACCAUCCUGAUGCCUCGCUAUUGAGUGUAUCACGAGUGACUUAUGUCUUUCAACUAUCAUCAGAGGCAGAUUCACAAAGACCGCUGGCUCCUCAGGAAACAUAAAAUACUUGUGUUAUUUUGAUUUUACAGCCUGUCUCUCACAGAUAUCUGCAGCUGAUAGAGACAUGCCAGCCUGUCAGCACUGAUGUACAAUUCACUGGAAUAUUGUCGAAUCGAAAAGGACAGUUUCUCUUUGUGGAUUUCCAGAAUCCACCUCUCAGAUCUCCGGCCACAGAAAGAGGAUGGUUGUGGGGUUUGGAAAUAGGAUUUAUCAUGGAUCAGUGGGACUGCUGACAGGACAUCUCUGAAGGCCGAUGUUUAAAGAGCUGGAAACAACAAAACUGGGAGGGGUCGAGUCCGGUUAGAUGCUGCUGGCGGUCAGUGGUGACUCAGCUGGGGACUCCAGUGACCUCAUGUGGCCCAGACCUCUAAUUCACCCGGCCGAUGACAGAACAUCUUUGGGAGAUCUCUGCAAGAGUUAUGUCAGUGAUGCUGUGCAUUAAAAUGGAACUGGAAAACAUGAGAGAGGGAAAUUUGCUGCAAUUGACGGAGUUCUCUCAAAGGCAAUGUGAGUCAGACAUCACUGAAAAAACAAAGAGGCCAGGGUAAGAGCUGUGGAGGUCUGACCUUCAAGAACAUCAACUUCUCAUUUAGAAAACAUGGGUAAUGGAUUACGAUUUGGGCAUUUCCAGCAAUGUACAAACAAAGGUCAACUGAGGUGAAGGGAUUCUCCAGAGAAAAUGGGUCUGAAAAUGACAGUGAAUACAUGUGUGAUUGAUUGAGGGGACAUGUAUGCAUCUUCGCCCACUUAAAUGGAUAUCCCGGCGUAAAAUUAAUUUAGGGUCAAACACGCAGUAACACUGAGUUAGACACCCCCUCGAAGGAUGAAUGUUGCCGACCGCUUGCUUUUCUAGUUCUACAAACUUUAGUAACGACCACACGAUAGCAAUACACAGCAGUCUGAGAAGCCAUGAUCAUUUCUUUAUCAUUUCCUUGAAGUACUAAUCACCAUAUUAAUCAGUUCUUCUGCCUUUGCGCCUCGGUCUGAUUGCAUUUCCAUGAAGAAAUGAUCAUAAAUGUUCUUCCUUGGGCUGCGUCACCCCGCUGUAGUCCGUAAUGAACUCACCCGAGGUCUCGCUACAAACAAACGGCUGCUGGAAGAGAGUAGGUGAGUUGUGUUUAGUCUCUAUGCCAAAGAAAUUAGGCAAAGCUAAAAAGAUGUUUGGUGGCUAGUACUAUGGUUUGGACCCUAUAUGUACUGUUGAUGAAGUUAGGUGCUGUUCUGAGCAUUAUUUGUGGCUAUAGAGUGGCGUUUUGGUUGAGGUUUGUUUAUGGCUCCUCAGACCGCUGUGUAUUGCUAUCGUGCGGUCAUUCUAAAGUUGGUAUAACUAGAGAAGCAAGCGGUCUGCAACAUUUAUCUCUCAAGGGGGUGCCUAACUCGGUGUGACGAUGUGUUUGACCCUAAAUUAAUUAUACCGUGGAAUAUCCCUUUAAUGGACCUUCAAUCCAUUGAAUCAUGCUACCGAGAGAAGCAUGCAGACAACAGUAUUAGUAACUUUCAUUCACUUCAUCAUGACCCCGCUAUGUUACAUUAAAGCUUCAUCUGUGAAGAUACCUCAAACCUGUAUGUUAUAUUUCAGAUCAUAAAAAUUUAUCGCUCUUAUCUCGAGAGGGUUGAGAUAUAGAGAGGGAUAAGUAGAGC